rnacentral:tRNA from 1 species
GAAAUCUUAGUAUAGUUAGUAUAUCUUGUUGUCGAUGAGGAGGGGGAGGUUUUGG